UCAGGAUAUGGUGUAACGGCUAACAUUACCGCCUUUCAUGGAGAGCUGCUUACUCUGUCCGCGGUAGCUCGGGGUUCGAUUCCCCGUAUUCGAA